CUAGGAUGACAUAUUUUGUUGCUGGUUUGCACUAGGCUGACAUUCUGUUGCUGGUUUGCACUCGGCUGACAUAUUCUGUUGCUGGUUUGCACUCGGCUGACAUAUUCUGUUGCUGGUUUGCACUCGGCUGACAUAUUCUGUUGCUGGUUUGCACUAGGAUGACAUAUUCUGUUGCUGGUUUGCACUAGGAUGACAUUCUGUUGCUGGUUUGCACUAGGAUGACAUAUUCUGUUGCUGGUUUGCACUAGGAUGACAUAUUCUGUUGCUGGUUUGCACUAGGAUGACAUAUUCUGUUGCUGGUUUGCACUAGGCUGGCAUUCUGUUGCUGGUUUGCACUAGGCUGACAUAUUCUGUUGCUGGUUUGCACUAGGAUGACAUAUUCUGUUGCUGGUUUGCACUAGGAUGACAUAUUCUGUUGCUGGUUUGCACUAGGAUGACAUAUUCUGUUGCUGGUUUGCACUAGGAUGACAUAUUCUGUUGCUGGUUUGCACUAGGCUGGCAUUCUGUUGCUGGUUUGUACUAGCUGACAUAUUCUGUUGCUGGUUUGCACUAGGAUGACAUAUUCUGUUGCUGGUUUGCACUCGACUGACAUAUUCUGUUGCUGGUUUGCACUAGAUGACAUAUUCUGUUGCUGGUUUGCAUUAGCUGACAUAUUCUGUUGCUGGUUUGCAUUAGCUGACAUAUUCUGUUGCUGGUUUGCACUCGGCUGACAUAUUCUGUUGCUGGUUUGCACUCGGCUGACAUAUUCUGUUGCUGGUUUGCACUAGAUGACAUAUUC